rnacentral:rRNA from 1 species
GACGAACGCUGGCGGCGUGCUUAACACAUGCAAGUCGAACGGAAAGGCCCUGCUUUUGUGGGGUGCUCGAGUGGCGAACGGGUGAGUAACACGUGAGUAACCUGCCCUUGACUUUGGGAUAACUUCAGGAAACUGGGGCUAAUACCGGAUAGGAGCUCCUGCUGCAUGGUGGGGGUUGGAAAGUUUCGGCGGUUGGGGAUGGACUCGCGGCUUAUCAGCUUGUUGGUGGGGUAGUGGCUUACCAAGGGUUUGACGGGUAGCCGGCCUGAGAGGGUGACCGGCCACAUUGGGACUGAGAUACGGCCCAGACUCCUACGGGAGGCAGCAGUGGGGAAUAUUGCACAAUGGGCGGAAGCCUGAGGCAGCAACGCCGCGUGCGGGAUGACGGCCUUCGGGUUGUAAACCGCUUUCGCCUGUGACGAAGCGUGAGUGACGGUAAUGGGUAAAGAAGCACCGGCUAACUACGUG